rnacentral:rRNA from 1 species
UACGGGGGGGGCAAGCGUUGUUCGGAAUUACUGGGCGUAAAGGGCUCGUAGGCGGCCAACUAAGUCAGACGUGAAAUCCCUCGGCUUAACCGGGGAACUGCGUCUGAUACUGGAUGGCUUGAGUUUGGGAGAGGGAUGCGGAAUUCCAGGUGUAGCGGUGAAAUGCGUAGAUAUCUGGAGGAACACCAAUGGCGAAGGCAGCUUGCUGGGCCACUCCUGACACUGAGGUACGAAAGCGUGGGGAGCGAACAGG